UACGGAGGGGACUAGCGUUGUUCGGAAUUACUGGGCGUAAAGCGCAACGUAGGCGGAUUUGUUAAGUUCAGGGGUGAAAAUCCCGGGGCUCAAACCUCGGAACUGCCUUUGAAUACUGCAAAUCUCGAGUCCGGAAAGAGGUGAGUGGAAUUCCUAGUGUAGAGGUGAAAAUUCGUAGAUAUUAGGAAGGAAACACCACGUG
rnacentral:rRNA from 1 species